rnacentral:rRNA from 1 species
CGUGCUUAACACAUGCAAGUCGAACGGUGAAGCAGGAGCUUGCUCCUGUGGAUCAGUGGCGAACGGGUGAGUAACACGUGAGCAAUCUGCCCUGGACUCUGGGAUAAGCGUUGGAAACGACGUCUAAUACCGAAUGCGCCCUUCGGGGGAAAGAUUUAUCGCCUUUAGAGCGGCCCGCGUCUGAUUAGCUAGUUGGUGAGGUAAAGGCUCACCAAGGCGACGAUCAGUAGCUGGUCUGAGAGGAUGAUCAGCCACAUUGGGACUGAGACACGGCCCAAACUCCUACGGGAGGCAGCAGUGGGGAAUCUUGCGCAAUGGGCGAAAGCCUGACGCAGCCAUGCCGCGUGAAUGAUGAAGGUCUUAGGAUUGUAAAAUUCUUUCACCGGGGACGAUAAUGACGGUACCCGGAGAAGAAGCCCCGGCUAACUACGUGCCAGCCGCCGCUGUAACAC